UCCACAGCCGCGAGAGGCGCAAGUGGAGUUGACCGGGGAGCAGCAGCAGUCAACUCACCGCGGUGCACACACUGUGGUAAGUAGACCUAAAUACAUCAACUUCAGCAACGCUAUUCUCUUAGCUGAAGUUGCGUAUCAUAGGUCGAUUCCCCCCCACGACCCGUGUAGACCAGGCC